rnacentral:rRNA from 1 species
GAUGAACGCUAGCUACAGGCUUAACACAUGCAAGUCGAGGGGUAGCACGGAAGAAGCUUGCUUCUUUGGGUGACGACCGGCGCACGGGUGAGUAACGCGUAUCCGACCUACCCAUAACACGGGCACAGCCGCUCGAAAGAGUGAUUGAUUCCCGAUAUGUCAUAUAAGUCUAUUAUAUGAUGAAAGAUUUAUCGGUUAUGGAUGGGGAUGCGUAAGAUUAGGUAGUAGGCGGGGUAACGGCCCACCUAGCCGACGAUCUUUAGGGGUUCUGAGAGGAAGGUCCCCCACACUGGUACUGAGACACGGACCAGACUCCUACGGGAGGCAGCAGUGAGGAAUAUUGGUCAAUGGGCGGAAGCUUGAACCAGCCAAGUAGCGUGAAGGAUUACAGCCCUACGGGUUUUAAACUUCUUUUAUAUAAGAGUAAUGUGCACUACGUGUAGUGUAUUGCAAGUAUUAUAUGAAUAAGCAUCGGCUAACUCCGUGCCAGCAGCCGCCGUAACAC